rnacentral:rRNA from 1 species
UAGAGUUUGAUCAUGGCUCAGAUUGAACGCUGGCGGCAGGCCUAACACAUGCAAGUCGAGCGGAAACGAGAAUAGCUUGCUAUUCGGCGUCGAGCGGCGGACGGGUGAGUAAUGCCUGGGAAUAUGCCCUGAUGUGGGGGAUAACUAUUGGAAACGAUAGCUAAUACCGCAUAAUCUCUUCGGAGCAAAGAGGGGGACCUUCGGGCCUCUCGCGUCAGGAUUAGCCCAGGUGGGAUUAGCUUGUUGGUGAGGUAAAGGCUCACCAAGGCGACGAUCCCUAGCUGGUCUGAGAGGAUGAUCAGCCACACUGGAACUGAGACACGGUCCAGACUCCUACGGGAGGCAGCAGUGGGGAAUAUUGCACAAUGGGGGAAACCCUGAUGCAGCCAUGCCGCGUGUAUGAAGAAGGCCUUCGGGUUGUAAAGUACUUUCAGUUGUGAGGAAGACUAUUACGUUAAUAGCGUGGUGGUUUGACGUUAGCAACAGAAGAAGCACCGGCUAACUCCGUGCCAGCAGCCGCGGUAAUACGGAGGGUGCGAGCGUUAAUCGGAAUUACUGGGCGUAAAGCGCAUGCAGGUGGUUCAUUAAGUCAGGUGUGAAAGCCCGGGGCUCAACCUCGGAACCGCAUUUGAAACUGGUUCACUAGAGUACUGUAGAGGGGGGUAGAAUUUCA